GAUGAACGCUAGCUACAGGCCUAACACAUGCAAGUCGAGGGACCGGCGCACGGGUGAGUAACACGUAUCCAAUCUUCCCUUACCCCGUGGAUAGCCUUUCGAAAGAAAGAUAAAUACCCGAUAUAAUGGGUGGGGAUGCGUUGUUUGAGGUUGUUGGUAAUGUAACGGCGAACCAAGCCUUCGAUGGUUAGGGGAUGGGAGAGGAAGGCACCCUGCAUUUGAAACACGACACAGUCCCAGCUCCUACGCGAGGGAGGAGUGAGGAAUAUUAGGCACUAGGCUCUAGCCUGACACAGCCAAGUAGCGUGAAGGAUGAAUGCUUCUGGAUCGUAAACUGCUUUUAUAGAAGAAUAGGUAUUAUAUGAAUAAGGAACGGCUAACUCCGUGCCAGCAGCCGCGGUAAUUC
rnacentral:rRNA from 1 species